UCUCUUUGAAGAUUUAAAGAGUUUGGCCUGCCCANUGAUAAAUAUUAAAGGGCCGCGGUAUUUUGACCGUGCAAAGGUAGCAUAGUAAUUAGGUUUUUAAUUGAAAUCUAGAAUGAAUGGUGGACAAAAAGAAUACUGUCUUUGUUUUAAAAAUUUAACUUAACUUUUAAGGAAAAGGCUUAAAUAAUCUAAAAAGACGAUAAGACCCUAUAAAACUUUAUAUUAAAAUUAAUUUAUAUAUUGAAGUUUAAAAAUAAAAAUUUAAAUUAAUUAUUAUAUUAUGUUGGGGAGACAAAAAUAUAAAGUUACAUAACAUUAUAAAGUAAAACAUAAGAUAAAUGAUUAUUAUAGAUUGAUCCUUUUUAAAGAUUAAAAGAUUAAGUUACUUUAGGGAUAACAGCGUUAUUUUUUUUGAGAGUUCAUAUCGAAAAAAGAGAUUGCGACCUCGAUGUUGAGAUUAAUAUAUCUAUAUGGCGUAGAAGUUAUAUUAGAGGGUCUGUUCGACCUUUAAAUU
rnacentral:rRNA from 1 species